AAUGAACGCUGGCGGCAUGCCUUACACAUGCAAGUCGAACGGCAGCAUGACCUAGCUUGCUUGGUUGAUGGCGAGUGGCGAACGGGUGAGUAAUGCAUCGGAACGUGCCUUUUAGUGGGGGAUAACGUAGCGAAAGUUACGCUAAUACCGCAUAUUCGCUGAGGAGGAAAGCAGGGGACCUUCGGGCCUUGCGCUAGAAGAGCGGCCGAUGUCGGAUUAGCUAGUUGGUGAGGUAAAGGCUCACCAAGGCAACGAUCCGUAGCGGGUCUGAGAGGAUGAUCAGCCACACUGGGACUGAGACACGGCCCAGACUCCUACGGGAGGCAGCAGUGGGGAAUUUUGGACAAUGGGCGCAAGCCUGAUCCAGCCAUGCCGCGUGAGUGAAGAAGGCCUUCGGGUUGUAAAGCUCUUUCGGCUGGGAAGAAAUCGAACCCUCUAAUACAGGGUGUGGAUGACGGUACCAGCAUAAGAAGCACCGGCUAACUACGUG
rnacentral:rRNA from 1 species